rnacentral:lncRNA from 1 species
GAACAUCAGAAACUGAGACCCCAGCUGCAAGCAUGCGUGUGAAACACACGCAUCAACUGGAAACAUAAGCGUCUUAGCUGCUACGAAAACAAAUCCAGAAACCAACAAAGGUCCUCCGAUCAGAAAACACCAAAUUUGACCAUAGAGCAUCGAAAAGGACCAGAUCGAGUCAAAAUUGGAAGGGAACACCAAAAUCCGCAUCAGCCCAGCAACAUCCAUGGAUGCCGACGAAUUGGGUAGCAAAGAUUAGAAAAUCAAAUCCAAUAAAUCAGGUUCUAAACAUUAGCCAAGGUGAUAUUUAUAAUUAAUGAAAAGAUGUAUUUUCUUAUUUUGGCUGUUGUUUGAUGGUUGAUAGCAUUUUCAUAUUUACAUUAUCAGUUUUUGAUUUGCUGUUAAUUGUUUAAAUUAUUUUAUUAGUUUUUCUAAGUGUAAUUUUUAAUUUGUCUAAAUAAUUUUAUUAGUUUUUCUAGGUGUAAUUAAGUGUAAUUAUUUAAUUUGUAAAAAUAUUUAUAUUUGUUUUUCUAAGUGUAAUUUUUUUAAUUUGUGUAAAUAAUUUUUAUAAGUUUUUCUAAUUGUAACUUUGUAAUUUGUUUAAAUGUCAUUACUUUCUUAUACUUUUUUAGCAUAUUUUAUUAUAAAAUAUUUUAUUUUAUUUUCUAAUUUUAUAAAAUUAAUUGAUCUUAAGAUUAAAAUUUUAUUACUUUUUUCUAUUGGAGGAAUCGAUUGAUUGAGUAUAUAACUUAUUUCUUGGGAAAACUAAACAACCAAACCUUUAUUACUUGGGUGGUCUUUUGACUAAAAUUUUAAAUAGGAGGUUUUGGGAUUAAAUUCAUGGAAUAAUAAAAUUUUGAUGAAAUUUGAGUUUAAGUACACAUCACACAUCACUAGGUCAAUGCUCAUGUGUCACUCGAGGGUCAAUUUGUAUUGACCAAAAGAAAGGGACUCAAUACCCAAAAACACCAUAAGUUUAGGAGCAACAUUUGCAUUUUACCCUUUAGUUUCCUAAAAAGAAGAAAAAUAAAUACAUAAAAAUCUAAUAAUAAAAAUGCAAAAUAUAAAUAAAAAUGCAAAAUUCGCCCAUACCUAAAUCAUGCAUUGUCCUUAAUGUAUACAAAUGAAGAAAGAGAGCAUAGAAAUGAAAUAAUUAUACCUUGUAUGGUAGGGCAUUGAGUUGUAAGAAUAUGUGGUGAAAAAGAAAACAAAUGAACAUCGUUAGUUUUGAUUAUUUGUGAUUUUAAUGAUAACAAUAUGCUUGUGUAUGUAUGUUAUUUAAUGGACAUGAUUAAUUAUGUUUAGAGCUAAAUUGAUAGGGGUUUAUUGAAAAUAAAAUAGACUGUUUGUUACAUGUUGACUUAAUUUGGGUAUAAGUCCAUUUGAAAUUACAUGUAGGAUUGCAUGAAGUUUUUCUAGUACAAAAGUUUUUAAAUCCAAGUCAUUAUUAUUGUUGGAAAUUCUUUCUCAAAUAUACUCCGUCAAAUCAGAGUUUAUUAAGGAAUUUGAGCAAUAUGUUCUAAUUUAAAUUGGGGUCUAUCAAGGAAACUGAUCUAGCUACUCAAGUUGUCUAGAGUAUGAACUCUAACAUCCUUAUCAUAUAUAUUCUUUUUCUCUUUUGAUUAAGUUUGAACUGAUUUCAUAUAUAUGACUUACUUAAAUUGGGAAAAUAUUAUAGUCGUUAUCUAUAACAAAGUUGCUGAAAUUACUAUCUCUUCUAAUCAAAGAUUGAGAUUUUCAUGCUAGCUAUUUCAUAUAGUCGUUGGUCUUUGUUCUAUAAAUUCUCAUCCUAGUUGCUAUAGAAGGCAGAACUCUUAAAGUUGCAAUUCAUCUUAUAUAGUACAUCUGAGAGUUUACUAAGUCUACUUCCAGUCAUUAGUUAUAUUAUUCUUAAAUUCCUUUUAGUUGGAAAAUUAUUGUACUCUUUAAAUCAUAGCAUUUGUAAUCCGAAUACAAACCUAGUUUGGCUUGGGUAUUCCAGUGGUAGUUAGUCUGUACAAAUGAAGUAUCAAAGGUCUCAGUGAUGAGAAAAGUUACAGAGGUGCAAAAGUUAUAGAGGUGCAAGGGGAUAGUGGUGUUGAAGUCAGAGCUGAGCUUCUUUAUACAUGGAGUUUUUCUGUAAUCAUUUGAGUAUUAAGUUUAAUAAAAAGUGUCUCCAAUACCAAUUGGUAUUGGACAUGGAUUAUGCCACUAGAUUAGAGGAUAGGGGUUGAACCACGUUAAAAUUUUGGUGUGAUUUACUAUUCUGUCUUUCCUUAUUCUGCAUUUAUAUUUCUAGAUAUAGUGCUCUGCUGCUCGCUUGAAGAUAUACUAAUCCAGAAACAUAAGCUGACAGAGUAUCCUGUCUAAUAAUAACUGAGGAAGAACCUAAUCUAAAGCAGACAACAAAACAAACAUGCAUACUUGUAGCAGAAAAACUUUAAAAGUAAUCACUAUUUAUCACGUCUAGCAUUUAUACCUAUUCACCCCCCUCUAGGUGUGUACAUAUACAAAAUUACAAUUCGAAUCAAAGUAAUACUCUACUACUAUUGAUCUUUGCAGAUUGUAGGGGAAGAUCCUAUGGCACAUCUAAACUUUCAAGAAUAUCAGUCCACAAGCAAGUCGCCUAUGUUGCUAAGGAGUGAUAACUUUAACUUUUGGAAAUUGAGAAUGAAAAUCUGUCUUAAUAGGGACCCAUCUGAAUGGUGGGUAAUUGAAAAUGGACUCGUCAUCCCAAGACAUGAUGAUGGAAGUCCCAAGAUGAUGGACUCCAUGGCACGCUUGCAUGAGGUGGUCGUCGCCCAGAUCGUUUCUAUCAAAAUUGUAAGGUGGAACGCUCACUACACCUCAACCCAACAUUUAUAUUGAGACGAGAACCUUGUUACAAUCGAUCGUGUAAGGAAGUUGUUUUAAAUGGAACAUCUAUGACACCUUGACCCCUCGCUUAUAUGUAAGCGGUAACCUUAGUAUAAUCAACGAUUGAUGCGGUAGAAGAUGCCACACACAACUAUGUAUUGUUGUAUGAUAAGUCAAAUUGAACAUUCAUAGACAAACCAUGAAUAAUUCAAGAGUUCUCAAAGAACCAAAGAAGAGAAUAAUCUCACCAAUUUUAUUGAAUAAUAAUAA